GCAAAACCAAAUGGGUUCCUUUGUCAUUAAAUAAUAUUAAUGGAUACACAGAAAACAUUGUUGAAGGUUAGAAGAAAUGUAUAUGGACAAAAUAACAGUGGUGUAUUAGACUUUGAAGCAACAAGUGCAGAUGUUGACAAAGUUAAUGGCAUUGCUAGGAUCUGGUUCAAUAUUGAACUGUUGAAAGAACUGAUUUUCUGAGUCACUUAAGGAAAGAGGCAUAAAGAAGAUAUAUUCUCCACAGAAAAUGACUUUUUGAAAACCAAAUGUGCUAUCCCCCAGUGGAGCAGGAGGUUUGAUUGGAAAAAAAAGAAGAGAAAGAAUUCUGAAGUCAGACUACACAGUUGCCCCAUGUGUGAAAUUCAUUAACCUCGUUUUUUCCCUCACAAACUAUUGCAGCCAAGAAUCAGAAGCCAGAAUUUCACAGGGCAGUACUCUCAAACCUGAAGCUGUGUAUGAUGCACCCGGGGAUCUUGUUAAAAUACAGAUUCAGUAUGUCUGGCCCGUUCUGAGGGUCUGCAUUUCUAACAAGCUCCCAGGUGAUGGCAACACUGCUGGCCAAUGAACCACACUUUGAGUAGUGAAGGUAUAAACAAAUAUAGAAUGUUAGGGUGGGUUACUCAUCUUACAAAAAUAAGAUCAUCCAUGUUCCAGAAGAUGAUCUUUAGACUGUUCGUAUGGAACCUGCAAAUCACUUGUUCCACAGAAACGUUUGCUGCCUGCCUGUCUGUGGCAACCUCCUUAAGAGUUGUCAGAUGUGAAGUUGGGGUUGUGUGCUCACCUAGCAUGUGUGAGGCCUCAGGUUCCACCCUUAGCAAAACAUACACACACACAAAGAAUUGUUGCAUGUGAAGAUAUGCCACUGAUUUUGCUUUUACAUAAACCUAGUACUUUCCAAAUUCUGAUCAUUUAAAUAGAGACAAAUAGUUGUUAAUAGAAUUCUAUCUAUCAGGAAAUAAAUACAUAUAUAUAAUCUACUCCUUUAUGUGAAAGUGGCAAUUUAACAAUUAAUGAGAAAGUAACUGCUCUUCAGAAGAAUCUUGAGCCUUGGAGAGAGCCAUGUGAAAACAGACAUCUUCCUCAUAACUUUCUUGUUGAAAUUACACCAUACCACCCAUAAAAACUUCCAUGUCUUUAUACCAAGAAACAGAAACUGAAUUUUCUAACAUUUAAAAAUCAGAGUUUCAUAAUAUAUUUUGAGCACAUUUGUUAAAAACAAAAACAGCAAUUUAUAAGUAAAUCAGGUUGAUAUCUGAGAGUAUAGAAAAUAUUAGCUGAAUUUCCACAAAAGUGCUUGCAUAAUUAGUAAAUAAGAUUGAAUAAUCAAGAUGGUGGUACAUGCCUGUAAUCGCAGCAGCUCAGGAGGCUGAGGCAAAGGAUCAC
rnacentral:lncRNA from 1 species